AUACCUACUUUACAAAGAUUCACGCCCUAUUCCCACGGGACAGCCUCUAAGCGGCGGGGGAGCCGACCAGUGUGUAACUUUGCCCAAGGCUGUUCAAGGCUGCCGGCUGUCAGGUGUCUUGGCAAGCCUGUCUGCAGCCUGAGGCCCCUUCAGGGCUUCUUCCGCAGCAGCCCGGGGUUGCCCAGAGUCUCCUGGGGGAUCAUAUGCCCCUGUUCCACAAGGAAUCCCUCUACACCUAGCAACAAUGUAUCAAUGAUUGAAUAAACUUCAUCUGACUGGACCUGGAAGAAGCCUGAAGCUCAGAAUACAUGUAGCUCCUGCACUUGGCUGCUUGAUUGCUGUUAAAAAGACUAAAUAAAAAAAAUCCUAUUGUUUGAGAUCAUUAAGGGAAAGGAGGAAUUUUAAUCCAUUAAGUAUUUUAACUAGUUCAUUGGAGGAUGACGACUAUAUCCAAAGUGAUGUGAUCAGGCUACCCUUAUUUAGACUUGGCAAAAGCUACUGAAGAUUAACAAAAUAAUCACUGGUAAAUAUUGUAAUGAUGAGUUGCACUGGUGGAAGAAAAUAAACAUAUGGUGCCCUUUUUUUUUUUUUUGUUAAUUAUUUAUAUGGAAGCAGUA